CACCAAAUCGACGCUCCAAACGCUCCUAUCCGUCCACACCAUCGCGCUCCAAUCGCGCUGCAUCCGCUUCUCUCCGCCCUGGCUUUCCGGCUUCCGCGCGCCCGCUCGCUUUUCGCCGUCCUUCCUCUCGCCCGCUCGCCCUCGCCGUCCUCCUCGACUAGCUGUUCCUCCCCGCCGUCCCACCGUCCUCCCCCACCGUCCCGCGCUGCCGCCGCCAUCGAUCCUCCCCGCCGCCCACGCCGUCCUCCACCAGAUCGCUCCCCCACUGCCGCCGCCAUCGAUCGCCCCCGCCGUCCUCGUCGCCGCCAUCGCCGUCUUCCACCACGGCUGAACAGGAGUUGCCAGGGUCGUCGUCCUCCGAUCUCCUUCGCCCGAGCCGAUCUCUCCACCGAUUUGCUCCGACCGUGCCGAUCUCCUCCGUGCCACCGUCGGUACUCCCUCACCAAUCUGCUCCGCCCACGCCGAUCUCUCCCAUCCGCGUCGCCAGCGAGGGCCACCCCACCAAUCUCCUCCGUGCCACCUCUGGAACACCCGCGCCCGCGUCGCCGACGACCUAGAAAUGAGAGGCCUCCUGUGAUUUACCUGUAGGAUCAUUUGAGAAUACACCAAUCUGCAGGGAAAAAAAGUUCAGAUUGUCGAAGCAAAGCUGACUGGACACCAUGCCAAUUGCUAUUGUUUACUGCACAAUCAAGGAGAUUUUUGGCUGAUUCUACUAAAUUUCUGUUUGGUAAAGUCCAAAUGUGCUGGUCAAUUCAUAAUUGAUCAGCAGGCCUGGAAUUUGUCUCAAGGUAUAUACAUGGAAUAGUGUUCCAAUAUGAGUAGUGACUAAAGCAGAUUAAUUUGAAUUGUGAACUCUUUUACCAAGUGAACAGAGACUCUGUCAAAUAAUCAGGUCAGUACUAAAAUCCUAUUGAUCACUAUAAAAUUACAAUCUCAUUUGAUGUUGCCUUUUUCCUGGUGAUCAUAGGAGUGACCCCUUUUUUCAUGCUUCAAAGGUAUAUGGUUUUGUAUAAAAUUCCAUUUCUCAGUAUAGAAGUUAAAACUCUCAUUUUUGUCUGAACUAAUAAACUAUUGUUCUUCUCCAAGAUUUGUUCACUAAGGCUCCGUUCGUUCUGGGGACAUAGGGGAGAUUUGAGUCUCGUUUUCCGCGCGCACGCUUUUUAAACUACUAAACGGUGUGUUUUUUGCAAAAAAAUUUCUAUAGCAAAGUUGCUUUAAAAAAUCAUAUUAAUCCAUUUUUGAAAUUUAAAAUAGUUAAUACUCAAUUAAUCAUGAGCUAAUGGCUCACCUCGUUUUGCGUAUCUUCCUAAUCUCCUCAAUCCCCUUCUCCUCAAACACACCCUAAGUUGCAAUUGAUAGCACAUUUUUACAUUUUCUUGGCGCGUCCAUUUGUGCCUCCACAGUUGCCCCAUAUGCUACCACUGACAUUUCUUAUUAUUCAUUCCUGUUUCUUAGAGAAUUGUAUUUAUCUGUGCAAAAUUGCAACUCGAUGUACUGAGGAUUCUAUAAGCUUUUAAAGAUUACCGUGAACACAUAGUGUACUAUCCAGAGAAUUACUCAGAUUCAUUUAUGUCUAAUGGAUUGGAUUCCAUGUAAA